CCUUAGAGGCUGGAUACCAGCAUCCCGAGGAGGUGCCCUAAAUGCGCUCCGGCAGACGCACGCACUUGCCCGUCGGCUUGGGAACCAUCCUCUGGGAACCACGCUGAGCUUUUUUCAGCCCUGGCAUCCAACCUCGGAGAGCGGUUUGCAGCCACCCGGGCACGCGGAGCGGAGAAGGACGCACCGAGAGCAGAGGCAGAGGCUGAGAUCAUUUUCCCCUACUCUCCUAAUUAUGAUUCACCAGCCUGGGAGCCUCGGAUGGUGUGGGAUGGUACCAAGAAAUAUUCCAUGGCUGAUCAAUUUUCAUCAAGGCUGCUGCAAAACAACAUCGUUCUGACCCAGCCUUCUCCUGAACCACGACUGCCUUCUGAAGUAGAUACUGUUAGUAUCACCAUUUCACAGAUGAAGCAGCAAGCUGAGAGAUGGAAUGAUGCCCAGGGCCACACAGAUGGUGAGUGCCAGAGCCAGCAUUCAAAGUCAGCUCUGCCAUCUAAGGCCAGGCUAUGUCAACCCUUCCUCUGGGGACUCCUUCCAAGGUGCCCCAGCUGAAUACAGAGAGUGGGUACUUAAUGUUGGACUUCGACAUCUUCCACACUUCCAAAUGUUUCAUGUUAAGUUUCAUCUUCAGAAUAGAAGUUCUUCAUGAAAGAACAAAGAGAUAUAUUACCAGGAUCGCCAGUUAAUUUUAACUUGGAGGAUAUACAAGGCUCUUGUUGAAUUCAACAAGAGGAAAACAUCCAAGACUAUCAGAAAAUGGGGCAAUGAAAUGAACAGAAACUUUAUCAGAGAAGAAAGCUGAAUGGCUGCUCUUCAUCACUAAUCAUCAGGGAGAUACAGAUCAAAACAACAAUGAAAUGUCAUCUCACAUCACAGAGAUUGGCACACAUCUAAAAGAACAAAAGCAACCGGUGUUGGUGUGGAUGUGGGGAGAAAGGAACUCUCCUGCACUGCUGGUGGGAAUGCCGACUGGUCCAGCCUUUUUGGAAAAUAAUAUGGACAUUUCUCAAAAAACUAGAAAUCGAACUCCCAUCUGACCCAGCAAUACCACUUUUGGGUAAAUGCAAAAAAAAUGUAUAAAUGACAUCUGCACUUGUAUGUUUAUGACAGCACUAUUUACAAUAGCCAGAAUCUGGGAAAAACCUGAUUGCCCGAGAACAGAUGAGUGAUCAAAAAAACUUUGGUAUAUCUAUACAAUGGAAUACUAUGCAGCUGUUGGAAACAAUGAAAUCAUGAAAUUUGCAUAUAAGUGGACCAACAUAAAGAGUAUAAUGCUACAUGAAAUGAGUCAAAAAGAGAGGGACAGACAUAGAAUGACUGCACUCAUUUGUGGAAUAUAAAGUAACGUAAUAGGAGACUAACACCAAAGGACAGUAGAAAUAAGGGUCAGGAGGAUUGCCCCAUGGCUUGGAAGCCAAUCGCAUGUGUGGGGGGAAAAGGUAUCUUGGAUGGAGACAGGAGCACUAAGUAAUUGAUAGUUGGAAGGAUCACUCAGGAUGGUAGAUCGCCCGGUAUGGUAGUUGACUAUGGACCAAACAUGAUGGCUGUUUGAUAACUGUAUUGCAAACCAUAACACCCAAAAAGACAGAGAGAUUAAGAGGGAAUGUGA